UGGGGAAUAUUGCACAAUGGGCGAAAGCCUGAUGCAGCAACGCCGCGUGAGUGAUGAAGGCCUUCGGGUUGUAAAGCUCUGUCUUCUGGGACGAUAAUGACGGUACCAGAGGAGGAAGCCACGGCUAACUACGUGCCAGCAGCCGCGGUAAUACGUAGGUGGCAAGCGUUGUCCGGAUUUACUGGGCGUAAAGAAUGCGUAGGCGGAUAUUUAAGUGAGAUGUGAAAUUCCCGGGCUUAACUUGGGAGCUGCAUUUCAAACUGGGUAUCUAGAGUGCGGGAGAGGAAAGUGGAAUUCCUAGUGUAGCGGUGAAAUGCGUAGAGAUUAGGAAGAACACCAGUGGCGAAGGCGACUUUCUGGACCGUAACUGACGCUGAGGCAUGAAAGCGUGGGGAGCAAACA
rnacentral:rRNA from 1 species